UACAGAGGGUGCGAGCGUUGUUCGGAAUUAUUGGGCGUAAAGGGUGCGUAGGCGGUUUGGUAAGUCUCGUGUGAAAUCUACAGGCUCAACUUGUAGUCUGCACGAGAAACUGCCGGGCUUGAGUAUGGGAGAGGUGAGUGGAAUUCCUGGUGUAGCGGUGAAAUGCGUAGAUAUCAGGAGGAACACCUGUGGCGAAAGCGGCUCACUGGACCAUAACUGACGCUGAUGCACGAAAGCUAGGGGAGCAAACAGG
rnacentral:rRNA from 1 species